UAGUGUUAGGAGCUGCUGCCCUCAGU
rnacentral:piRNA from 1 species